UCAUGCUUCUGCAGGGCUCCGCCGGCCCGCCGCCGCCCCGGGAGCGCUCUCGCUUUUCCCGAGGACAGGAAAAAUUAGCCUCGGUAUUUCUAGCUGUUCCUGAGGAAAUGGCAUUUUAUUCAAAGGUGUCGUGGGAAACUGAACACGCUGCCUGCAUUAGUACCGGUUUCUGCGCCAAAGAAAAACAGAGCCUAUCAGUAAAUAAGUCACUGAUUACUGUCCUUAUCAGACUAUGAAGCCAUUGGAAUCUUAAUAUCUGGACACAUCUGAGAAGUGACAAAGCUGAGGACACUUUUCACACUUCCAUCCGGUGAUCACCAUAAUGAUCACACCGCGAAGUGAAGAGGGAGCCAAGAUGCUUCUCACCGCUGGGGUGUUCUGCCCUGACCAAAGGAUGCUUCCUGGGGUCUGUCCACUGCAUCUUUCUGGGUCUUUGUUUACAGCGACAGGACAAGAGCCCUGCAGAGCGGCAAAGAAACAGACUGCAUCUUGGUUUCCAACCUGUGGACCAUGAUGGUUUUGUGGUCCGCAUGGACACUAACGAUUGUCCCUCGACAAAAUAAUAUUUAAUUUUCAGUCAAAACUAUCUAUCGACUGCUAGUUAACAUAUAAUGGAAAAGAAUCUGAAAAGAAUAUAUAUAUAUAUUUAUAUAUAUAAAACUGAAUCACUUUGCUGUAUACCUGAAACUAACAUUGUAAAUUGACUACACUAACUACACUUCAAUAAGAAAUUAAAGAUAGAGACCCUGUCUAUUGACUGCUAAUUAUGAGGUAAGCACUGUUUCUGGGGCUACACAUUGUCCCCCUUCUAUUUGUUACUAUUUCCCAAAUAUACAUAGAAGAUAUCAUAAUGAGUAAAAUAAAAAUUAAUGUAAAAGUAUUAA